rnacentral:rRNA from 1 species
UUGGAAACGACUGCUAAUACCGCAUAAUGUCUACGGACCAAAGGGGGCUUCGGCUCUCGCCUUUAGAUUGGCCCAAGUGGGAUUAGCUAGUUGGUGAGGUAAUGGCUCACCAAGGCGACGAUCCCUAGCUGGUUUGAGAGGAUGAUCAGCCACACUGGGACUGAGACACGGCCCAGACUCCUACGGGAGGCAGCAGUGGGGAAUAUUGCACAAUGGGCGCAAGCCUGAUGCAGCCAUGCCGCGUGUGUGAAGAAGGCCUUCGGGUUGUAAAGCACUUUCAGUCAGGAGGAAAGGGUGGUGGUUAAUACCCGUCAUGUGUGACGUUACUGACAGAAGAAGCACCGGCUAACUCCGUGCCAGCAGCCGCGGUAAUACGGAGGGUGCGAGCGUUAAUCGGAAUUACUGGGCGUAAAGCGUACGCAGGCGGUUUGUUAAGCGAGAUGUGAAAGCCCCGGGCUCAACCUGGGAACUGCAUUUCGAACUGGCAAACUAGAGUGUGAUAGAGGGUG